GCGAUGCGCCAGACGCUGAAACUUGCGAUCGGGCCGAAAGGUCCGGCCCGGCGCCUGCGCGACCC
rnacentral:sRNA from 1 species